rnacentral:rRNA from 1 species
AUUGAACGCUGGCGGCAGGCCUAACACAUGCAAGUCGAACGAGUGGCGGACGGGUGAGUAAUGUAUGGGAAACUGCCUGAUGGAGGGGGAUAACUACUGGAAACGGUAGCUAAUACCGCAUACAAUCAGAUGUGCCCAUAUGGGAUUAGCUAGUUGGGGGGGUACAGGCUCACCAAGGCGACGAUCCCUAGCUGGUUUGAGAGGAUGACCAGCCACACUGGAACUGAGACACGGUCCAGACUCCUACGGGAGGCAGCAGUGGGGAAUAUUGCACAAUGGGCGCAAGCCUGAUGCAGCCAUGCCGCGUGUAUGAAGAAGGCCUGCGGGUUGUAAAGUACUUUCAGCGGGGAGGCGUUACCCGCAGAAGAAGCACCGGCUAACUCCGUGCCAGCCGCCGCGGUAAUUC